GAGUUUGAUCCUGGCUCAGAUUGAACGCUGGCGGCAGGCCUAACACAUGCAAGUCGAGCGGCAGCACGGGUACUUGUACCUGGUGGCGAGCGGCGGACGGGUGAGUAAUGCCUAGGAAUCUGCCUGGUAGUGGGGGAUAACGCUCGGAAACGGACGCUAAUACCGCAUACGUCCUACGGGAGAAAGCAGGGGACCUUCGGGCCUUGCGCUAUCAGAUGAGCCUAGGUCGGAUUAGCUAGUUGGUGAGGUAAUGGCUCACCAAGGCGACGAUCCGUAACUGGUCUGAGAGGAUGAUCAGUCACACUGGAACUGAGACACGGUCCAGACUCCUACGGGAGGCAGCAGUGGGGAAUAUUGGACAAUGGGCGAAAGCCUGAUCCAGCCAUGCCGCGUGUGUGAAGAAGGUCUUCGGAUUGUAAAGCACUUUAAGUUGGGAGGAAGGGCAGUUACCUAAUACGUAAUUGUUUUGACGUUACCGACAGAAUAAGCACCGGCUAACUCUGUGCCAGCAGCCGCGGUAAUACAGAGGGUGCAAGCGUUAAUCGGAAUUACUGGGCGUAAAGCGCGCGUAGGUGGUUCGUUAAGUUGGAUGUGAAAUCCCCGGGCUCAACCUGGGAACUGCAUUCAAAACUGACGGGCUAGAGUAUGGUAGAGGGUGGUGGAAUUUCCUGUGUAGCGGUGAAAUGCGUAGAUAUAGGAAGGAACACCAGUGGCGAACGCGACCACCUGGACUGAUACUGACACUGAGUGCGAAAGCGUGGGGAGCAAACAGGAUUAGAUACCCUGGUAGUCCACGCCGU
rnacentral:rRNA from 1 species